ensembl:miRNA
CUCCCCAGGGAACUGAUUUCCCAUGGUGUUUUAGAGUAUAAAAUCUCAUCUAGCACCAUUUGAAAUCGGUGUUCUUGAGUAGGAAAGAAUGUCUGUACU